UUACGUACGGACAAACUUUACUUAAUAAUGUCAGUAACAAAAGCAAAACACAGCAUCACAACACCAAGGCAACACGUUGAGUAGGCAUCAUGGUUGUGGUUUGUUUGUGAUCUAUUUUCUCCCUCACAGACUAACCGAACAGAACUGAGUAGCAUGGUAGGACAAAAUACCUGGGGCUCAAUUCAAUCAAACCUGCAUUGCAAUAUUUACACAGUAGCUUUUUUCUCUCUCCAAAUGGUCAAAUAAACUCAGAUUGGUCUUGGGGACUGUAUAAAAACCUAGCAGGUAUGCUAACUACUAACAGGUAUGCUACUAGCAGGUAUGCUAACUACUAGCAGGUAUGCUAACUACUAGCAGGCAUGCUUUCACAUUUCAGAAUUAGAAGUGUGUGUACACAAGAUGAAUAUUGUAAAUAAAGACAUUGCCUAAACAUUGCUAUGGUGGGUUUGAAUGAAUCCCAGUCUUUUUGUUAAAGCUAAAAUGCAGUUCAACAAGAACAUAAAAUUACAGGGUUCACAGAGCAGAACAAAUAGAGACCAACCAUCUAGACUCCAUCUCAACAGCAUAUUUACAAUCAUUGGCAGUGGUAGAUGCUAUUCCUCAGAGAAAUCAUAUACACUUUGUACACAAAAAACAUUGGUUCAGACAUUAAAAUGCUCUCUCUCUCACACACACACACACACACACACACACACACACACACAACACUGGAAUUCAUCAGGCAGUAUUGUACAGUAGGUAAGGCAUUAUGGGAUACCGUGAUGUGGAUAGUUAAAAUGAGGGUCUUGACCUUCUAGAAUAGGAUGUGACAUCAUAAAAAUAACAAAAGUACAAAUACUGACUCCUUGCCAGGAACUGCAUGGGGCAAUACCACAAGCAGUGGUGCAACGUACUUAAGUACAAAUACUGACUCCUUGCCAGGAACUGCAUGGGGCAAUACCACAAGCAGUGGUGCAACGCACUUAAGUACAAAUACUGACUCCUUGCCAGGAACUGCAUGGGGCAAUACCACAAGCAGUGGUGCAACGCACUUAAGUACAAAUACUGACUCCUUGCCAGGAACUGCAUGGGGCAAUACCACAAGCAGUGGUGCAACGCACUUAAGUACAAAUACUUGAAGUACUACUUAAGUAAAAAUACUUGAAGUACUACUUAAGUAGUUUUUUGGGGUGUAUCUGUAGUUUACUUUAGUAUUUAUAUUUUUGACAACUUUUACUUUUACUCCACUACAUUCCUAAAGCAAAUAUACUUUUUACUCCUUACAUUUUCCCUGAAACCCAAAAGUACUCGUUACAUGUUUAAUGCUUUAGCAAGGACAGGAAAUUGUCUACUUCACGCACUUAUCCAGAGGAAAUCACUGGUCAUCCCUACGGCCUCUGAUCUGGCAGACUCACUAAACACAAAUACUUUGUUAGUAAAUGAUGUCUAAGUGUUGGAGUGUGCCCAUAGCUAUCCAUAAAUGUUUUUUUAAAAACAAGAAAAUGGUGUCAUCUGGUUUACUUAAUAUAAGACAUUUUAAAUGAUUUAUACUUUUGAUACUUAAGUACAUUUAAAACCAAAUACUUUUAGACUCAAAUACUCUUCUACUCAAGUAGUAUUUUACUGGGUGACUUUCACUUGAGUCAUUUUCUAUUCAGGUAUCUUUUCUUUUACUCAAGUAUGACAAGUGGGUUCUUUUUCCACCACUGCCCCUGAGCAACGACCAAACCCACAUCCACAUCCUGUUCUGUUUUCCACAGAACACAUAAUGUCACCGUAUCUUGAAAUAAACCAUGCAAGAGUUAUGAGUUAGGGUCUAUGGAACCCAGUAUUGUGAGUUAGGGUCUAUGGAACCCAGUGUUGUGAGUUAGGGGCUAUAGAACCCAGUGUUGUGAGUUAGGGUCUAUGGAACCCAGUAUUGUGAGUUAGGGUCUAUGGGACCCAGUAUUGUGAGUUAGGGUCUAUGGAACCCAGUGUUGUGAGUUAGGGUCUAUGGGACCCAGUAUUGUGAGUUAGGGGCUAUAGAACCCAGUGUUGUGAGUUAGGGUCUAUGGAACCCAGCAUUGUGAGUUAGGGUCUAUGGAACCCAGUAUUGUGAGUUAGGGUCUAUGGGACCCAGUGUUGUGAGUUAGGGUCUAUGGAACCCAGUAUUGUGAGUUAGAGUCUAUGGGACCGAGUAUUGUGAGUUAGGGGCUAUAGAACCCAGUGUUGUGAGUUAGGGUCUAUGGAACCCAGUGAGAGGGGCAGAAUGUCCAGGUUUACUGACCUCAUCAUUAUCACACAUAAUAUAACAUUUACAUAUUACAUAAUAUUAAAUAUGAUUAUGUUAUAAGAUUAUAUGGUAUACUAUUAUAUUAAUAUAUGAUAAUGAUUACAUUACAUAAUAUUAUAUUAAUAUAUGAUAAUGAUUACAUGACAUAAUAUUAAUAUAUGAUAAUGAUUACAUUACAUAUUAUUAUAUAUGACAGAACAUGUGUAAUGUGAUGUCAGUCAAGCAGGAAGUAUGGGGCGCUGAGUUUGCUGCAGCAAAAACCAUCAUAAUAACAAUAAGAAACCAAAAACAUUUGGAAAAAAUAUUUUAGGAACUAAUCCUGUAUUAGUCUCCGUAGCGCAGGGAUUUGUUUUCUUUCUGCGUCUAUGUCACACAACAAGAAUACAGUAAUAACUAAUGAAGAAAUUACCGUAGAAAUGAAACACACCUGACAACAAGAUUACGGUAAUAACUAAAAAUGAAGGAAUUUCAGUAAACAAGAAACCCUACUGACUUUUUUUGAGGGGGGGCCAGACGUCAGAUCCUGGGUUAUAACCAUUCAUUGAUUAUCAAAAUAACCGUGUCAGGAAAAGUCUGAAAUGUGGUGGGUUGUUAGGAUACAUUAGAGUUUCAAAACUGAGUCAACAAAACAUUUGGACGUUUGGAAUGUGUUAGUAUGUAUAACAGUAGUUUCUUACACCCCCCCCCGUUAAAAAAAUACAUUUCGGAAACAUUUCAAAAUCUUUCACAACACUCAGAUAAACACUUUACAGAAACACACACAUUUACAAAGAAGGAAGUCAUGCAGAAAUGACAAUCUUUGUCCUGUACACGGAGUGUGUUUAUGAGCUUUGUGCUGUAUGUGUAUGUGUGUGUGUGUGGGUGGGUGUGUGUGGGUGGGUGUGUGGGUGGGUGUGUGUUGUAUUCAGGGGAAACGGACCCACUGGUGGACUUGUAUGUGUUUGUGUGUGUGUGUGUGUGUGUGUGUGUGUGUGUGUGUGUGUUGCAUUCAGGGGAAACGGGCCCACUGGUGGACUUGUAUGUGUUUGUGUGUGUGUGUGUGUGUGUGUGUGUGUGUGUGUGUGUGUGUGUGUGUGUGUUGUAUUCAGGGGAAACGGACCCACUGGUGGACUUGUAUGUGUUUGUGUGUGUGUGUGUGUGUGUGUGUGUGUGUGUGUGUGUGUUGCAUUCAGGGGAAACGGGCCCACUGGUGGACUUGUAUGUGUUUGUGUGUGUGUGUG
ensembl:lncRNA